CCUGCACGAAUGGCGUAAUGAUGGCCAGGCUGUCUCCACCCGAGACUCAGUGAAAUUGAACUCGCUGUGAAGAUGCAGUGUACCCGCGGCAAGACGGAAAGACCCCGUGAACCUUUACUAUAGCUUGACACUGAACAUUGAGCCUUGAUGUGUAGGAUAGGUGGGAGGCUUUGAAGUGUGGACGCCAGUCUGCAUGGAGCCGACCUUGAAAUACCACCCUUUAAUGUUUGAUGUUCUAACGUGGACCCGUGAUCCGGGUUGCGGACAGUGUCUGGUGGGUAGUUUGACUGGGGCGGUCUCCUCCUAAAGAGUAACGGAGGAGCACGAAGGUUGGCUAAUCCUGGUCGGACAUCAGGAGGUUAGUGCAAUGGCAUAAGCCAGCUUGACUGCGAGCGUGACGGCGCGAGCAGGUGCGAAAGCAGGUCAUAGUGAUCCGGUGGUUCUGAAUGGAAGGGCCAUCGCUCAACGGAUAAAAGGUACUCCGGGGAUAACAGGCUGAUACCGCCCAAGAGUUCAUAUCGACGGCGGUGUUUGGCACCUCGAUGUCGGCUCAUCACAUCCUGGGGCUGAAGUAGGUCCCAAGGGUAUGGCUGUUCGCCAUUUAAAGUGGUACGCGAGCUGGGUUUAGAACGUCGUGAGACAGUUCGGUCCCUAUCUGCCGUGGGCGCUGGAGAACUGAGGGGGGCUGCUCCUAGUACGAGAGGACCGGAGUGGACGCAUCACUGGUGUUCGGGUUGUCAUGCCAAUGGCACUGCCCGGUAGCUAAAUGCGGAAGAGAUAAGUGCUGAAAGCAUCUAAGCACGAAACUUGCCCCGAGAUGAGUUCUCCC
rnacentral:rRNA from 1 species